rnacentral:pre_miRNA from 1 species
CAGCCUCAGGACCUCGGGAGCAGAAUCAGGGCACCUCCACCAUGGCCUGGACCCCUCUCAUCCUCAGCCUCCUCACUUACUGCACAGGUGC